GGCCCGAAGGAUGGCGCCUGGCGCAGGCGGACUUUUUCUGUACAACGAAAGUUAUGAAGGCAACUGACUCGAUCAAUCUAAAAAACUUUACAAAUGACAGUGACUGUUUUGCCAAAAAUGGAGCCAAAUGGCAUCAAACAGACUAGAGGUUAAAAGUGAAGAUCAGGGAAGGGAGCAGGAAUCCACUCAGGAAAGCUGACUGCUACCAUGAAACUUGUAGGGGAAAGAGAAGAGAGAGCAAGAAUUCCAAAAAAGUUGAAAUGAGGACAGGGAAGGAGUCCCCUCUCAGCUGCAAAUUCUGGAGACUGAAUGCUGGAGCUGGAGACUGAGGGAUCCCCAGAGAGCAUCACGAGAAGGUGUCACACCACUGUUGGAGGCGUCCAAAGCAAUCUCGGGAUUGCUUAGCAUUGGUGCCACACGUGUUCUGCAGAGGUUCCUAGAAGAGGUCUUCAUCUUUCUUGAGCACCAGGAACUGGGCAAGGACCACAUAUGCCUUGUCAAAGCCCCUUUCUUCCAGCUUCUUGCCCAGGACUUCACCAACCCCAGCUAAGCUCCGCCCUGGCUUUUCCCUCAUGGGCUGUGCCACGAAGUCUUGAUGCUUUUUGGGAGGCUGUCAUGUUGAUCAGGUUUAAUCAGCACCUCCAGUUCCU